UGCACAGCAGAAAUCUGUGCAGCGAAGGUGUCCUCAGCCUGGACUUCCUCUGGUAAAUGAAAGACUGAUGUGUUGGGCUGGUCAGGAAAGACCGGGAUGAAAAUCAGGCUCUUGCCUGCACUGGGAAUCCCUGCCUUGAAUUGCAGAGAGGAGGCAGCAGAGAAGCUGCUGAAUACGGACGAGCCGAUGCAAGUCAUUAGAACAACGGUGGACAGCAGCGGGGCUGCAGUAUUGAAUAAACCAUAGGGGCUAUUGUUGUCUUUCAGAAAGACUAUCUAAUUUUUUUUUUUUAUGGAACUUGUAGCCAUUUUUAAGCUUUCAUUUUUCAUAAUGUCACAGAUAAUCUUUUAUC